GACGAACGCUGGCGGCGUGCUUAACACAUGCAAGUCGAACGAUGAAGCUGGAGCUUGCUCUAGCGGAUUAGUGGCGAACGGGUGAGUAACACGUGAGCAAUCUGCCCUUGACUCUGGGAUAACUGCGGGAAACUGUAGCUAAUACCGGAUACUUUCACCGGGGGGCAUCCUCUGGUGAUGAAAGAAUUUCGGUCAAGGAUGAGCUCGCGGCCUAUCAGCUUGUUGGUGAGGUAACGGCUCACCAAGGCGACGACGGGUAACCGGCCUGAGAGGGUGACCGGUCAUACUGGGACUGAGACACGGCCCAGACUCCUACGGGAGGCAGCAGUGGGGAAUAUUGCGCAAUGGGCGAAAGCCUGACGCAGCAACGCCGCGUGCGGGAUGACGGCCUUCGGGUUGUAAACCGCUUUCAGCAGGGAAGAAGCCGCAAGGUGACGGUACCUGCAGAAGAAGCACCGGCUAACUACGUGCCAGCCGCCGCCGUAA
rnacentral:rRNA from 1 species